ACAAGUGUCUCACUUGCCAUUUCCAGAAACUCAUUGCAUUUGGACUAGAAUCAUCACACCAUAGCAAAAUUCUUUAGAGAUUUGUGGUCACACUUGUCAAGUUAGAAGCAGCAGAAAGAAUCACACGUAUUUCUGGAAUUACAUCAAUAAUAAAGUGUGUGGUACUCCAUGGGAAGUGGUCACAAUGGAGCUGCAAGGCCAUCUUACUUCCUUUCUUCCUUGAACACAAGAUGGUCUAUUAGGAUCAGAAGGCACAGAUGGCCCAACUCCAUCCUAAUUAAUCAAGCUGUGACAAGAUAAAGUAAAGACGAACCUAGAAAAAUGGGAGGAAGCACCAUUUUGAGGCAGUCAUUUCCGUGGAAUGACUUGAAGAAAAUGCUGAAAGCAGUCUUUACCCCACUCUCCACCAACUAACUCAUCAACACACAUGAGCUGUAUAAAACCUCCCACUCAACCACUUCAGUCAUUUUAAUUAUUACCCUCCAUAGUCCUCAUGGAAAGGCAAAUCCUCCUAGAAAUGAACAUAAACGAAGCCCCUAAACCAGGCUGACUGAUUUAAUUACACUUUCUGCU